rnacentral:lncRNA from 1 species
GCAAGUCAGCUUCCCAGUCAUGCCACGGAAUCUCACCUCCAGAAGGCUCCAGCAUAGGGGUGGUCCCCUGGCACCCAGGACGUCUACUGCCCUUCCUGACCCCCAUGGGGCCACCCUCUCGGGUCUUGCACCCACCACCACCAACACCCAGAGCCACAACAACUGACCAGGGAGAACACUUUCCCGCAGCGUACUGGCACCUCCACAGCCCUCAUGUGCAACUUGCUGUGCUCAGCUUACCCCCCCUUGGGGACUGAGGGCACUUCUCUGCCUGGGGAUGCCACCGGCCACGGAGGCCAGGGAACGACACCCACGAGCCACUGCAGAUGGCUGCUGUGCUAGGACACCAGAAGGCUACAUGGAAGAUAAUGAAGAUUCAGAGCAGGAGAGCAAGAAUAUGGAGGUCAUGUUUUUUAUUCUUUCAUAUCUUUAAAAUUUUUUCUCUUUUCCUGGUCCAUAGACUCUUCUUUGUAACCCUUCCCUCUCUCCUCUUACCAUCUUUUUCUGAUUAAGGCUUGGUCUCUUGUAAGCACUUGGGGACCUGGGAGCUUAUAUAAAAUCUAUGAAAUCUCUCUGCAGCCGUUUUCCCCCAUUUUCUUAGCAUUGCCCUCUAUCCUGAGCUCAUGGCUGCACCCUUGAAUCUGGCUUUGUCGCCAUAAGUGGCCUGAGCAGAAGUUGAGGCUGGAGUCAGCAUGUCUGGACCCACAUGGCUGAAGGGGCCCCAUGAAGUCUGCACUGCCCUGAACUACCGCAUAUGGUUGCUUUCCUGUCCUGGGAGGGCUUGAAUCUGCCUGACUGAUCUCUUCUUUCCAGAUGUCAGACAACUCUCUGGUCAUCCUUUUGAAGAAUGUCAAAAAUGUCAUCAGUGAUGAUGAAGAAGACCAUGAAGAGCAAGUGUGAACAUUGGACCUGGGCUGAAAAGGCUCUGCUCUCAAUCCCUGAAGACCUGGACCCCAGAGGGGAUGGAGCCCCCAAGCACCAGGAGCCUCAUCUGGACCAGAUCAAGGGAGGCAUCACUGCUUCUCUCCUGAGGGUCCUCAUUUAGUACAGCUUCAGAUGUUUUGUUGUAUAGAUUUAGUAUUAGUUUUAUCUACAGUUUUAUCUAUAUGUUCUAUAUGUAUCUAUAUGUUCCAUGUAUUUUUUUCAUUAAAUUUUUAAAUCUAUUUGUUACUUUUAAAAUCAUUUUUUAUAAAAACACACAUGUAUAGAAUAGCACCCUCAGGAGACCUGAGGUGGCCAGUCCGUGCCCACCUAGAUGAACAUGCAAAAGCCCUGUCUUGAAAACCCUUCUGACCUCAUCAUUCAGCAGCAGUGCCUCUCUUGGACCGGCCCGUCUCUCCCUUGAGGUGUCCUUUCUGUUCUUUCUUUAAUAAACUUGUUUUUGCC